rnacentral:rRNA from 2 species
ACGUAGGGUGCAAGCGUUGUCCGGAAUUACUGGGUGUAAAGGGAGCGCAGGCGGACCGGCAAGUUGGAAGUGAAAACUAUGGGCUCAACCCAUAAAUUGCUUUCAAAACUGCUGGCCUUGAGUAGUGCAGAGGUAGGUGGAAUUCCCGGUGUAGCGGUGGAAUGCGUAGAUAUCGGGAGGAACACCAGUGGCGAAGGCGACCUACUGGGCACCAACUGACGCUGAGGCUCGAAAGCAUGGGUAGCAAACAG